CCAUAUCCAAACAUUUCAUAAGAUAAUAUAAAAAAAGCGUAAACUUUAAAUAUCCCUCGUGGUUUCACACUUUUUCACUUUAGUAUUCUGUGUUUUAAAGUAUACCGAGUUAAGAUCCUCUGGUUUCAUUUUUCUUUUUUUAUUAUCCAUUUCACUAAUUUUUUUCGUUAAAUCAUUAACAAAGUUAAAAUUAAAGGGUAUUAAAAUGAAUAUUCGAUAAACCUAGAUAGGAUAUCUAAAUUUUUCGUAUAUAAUUUAGGGAAAUAUUAACGGAAGAAAAAAAAAUCGGUAACAAAGUUAAAACUAAAGGGUGCUAAAGUAAAUAUUCGAUAGACCUAGAUAGGAUAUCUAAAAUUUUUUGUAUAUAAUUUUAUAAAAUAUUAACAGAGGAGCCGACGAAAAGAGAAAAAUAAAACCAUAGGGUACUAAAUUGAUACACUUUAAACCAUAGUAUACUAAAGUGAAAAAAUGCGAAACCACAUGGGUGGCAUUUGAAGUUUUUCUAAAAAAAAUAUUAGCAAAGAAACUAUUUAGAUAUUCACGAGAAGCGUGAUGAAUAUAUCAGAACAAAUAUUGCUGUCAAUAACUAGUAUUAAAGUGGAAAAAGCAUAUAAAAGCAAAUGUUUUUUUGAGAGAUAGGUAGCACGCUACGCGCUUCAUUUAUUUCAUUUAGAAAUAAACUUAGCUAGAAAUGUGAAUCAACUAGGAUUUGAACUUGAGUCUCGGGUACCAACCACCAAACCCUUUGCCACUUGCUUUAGGGAUGGUCCGUAUAUGAAAGCAAAUGUCGUUUU
rnacentral:lncRNA from 1 species